GCUCAGUUGGUUAAGACUCAGACUCUUGACUGCAGCUCAGGUCUUGAUCUCAGCGUUGUGAGUUCGAAUCCCACAUUGGGCU
rnacentral:tRNA from 1 species